rnacentral:rRNA from 1 species
UACGUAGGGUCCGAGCGUUGUCCGGAAUUACUGGGCGUAAAGAGCUCGUAGGUGGUUUGUCGCGUUGUUACGUGAAAACUCACAGCUCAACUGUGGGCGGUGCGGGCGGAUACGGGCAGACUAGAGUACUGCAGGGGGAGACUGGAAUUCCUGGUGUAGCGGUGAAAUGCGCAGAUAUCAGGAGGAACACCGAUGGCGAAGGCAGGUCUCUGGGCCACUACUGACGCUGAGAAGCGAAAGCAUGGGGAGCGAACAGG